UUCCACUCACCAGAGGUCUUAGGGUCCCGUGGGGGGUCCCAUGUGGGCCCUUGCGGGUGUUGGGCAAGACUCUGCGGCAAGGUAGCCCGGGGCUGGAGUCGAGCGGAAGGGCUCAUAUAGUCUUUAUAAUAAUCUCUAUAGGGUAUAUUAGUUAACAAUUAUUGUGUAGCAAGGUAUCUUAAAACCCAGUGGCUUAUUACUGUAUUUGUCCUUUCUUAUAUGCACAUGAAGCAUGGGGACUUAAGCUACAGAUUGGAUUCUGGUCUAGCCCAACAAUGUCUACUUUUUCUUACAUAGCAGAGUAGUUGACUCCGUUUACUUGUGCACAUCACAUCUUCAGCUACCCCUGUGGUAAUGCAAACUACAUGGCCAAUCUCAAAGCCCUGUCCAAGAACACUCUGUACCACAUGAGAGCAGCCAAUCUGAGAUCAACGGGCAUGGUGUAGAAAAGUUGAUUCUGCAAAUGAGGUUGAUGGGGAAAUGGUACAUGCUUUUAAACAGUAAUCUAAGCUGCUACUGUCACUAUUCCUGUUUCCGUUAUAUAGAUGAGAAAGCAGAUUGGCGCACAACAGACCAGCAAGCACUGUGUCUGUGUUUCCCAGCCCCAGCUUCUGUGCUGCCACUCUUUAAGGAGUGUGUACAUCAUGGGCUAUUUCUUCAUUGCUCAGAACAUACUCUGAAGUGGUACAUGUGCAGCUUCCCAUCUUCACUGGAGACUGAUGAAGAUCUAAAUUACAAGGCCACAGACCUCUUUGUCCUAGUUACAGCUCCUUUAUUGUGGGAAAGUCAAACAAGGACUUAAAGGAUCACAGCAUCAGAAAAGAGCAGAGAAAAGAUGACUACAGGAAUCUUUUUUCUUCUUCUUCCUGCUGGAGCUCACAUGGGUAACUAUUCCCCUGUAGUGUGAAUGGUACCAUUCACAGAGGGUUGGAUCUUCCUAUAUAUAGGAAUAUUUAAGACAACCCCCACUACAUACGCACAUAAACACACUCACACACACACACACACACACACACACACACACACACACACAAACACGUGUGCCAUUGCACGCAUACACAAACACACAUGCCCAUAGGUCAACUGGAUCCAGACAAUUCUUCAUUAAGGCUCUUCCAGAUGAUUCUCGAUUGUACCAAGUUGACAUUUAAAAGAAACUAACACAAUCUCCCUAGAGGAUAAAACUGAAGCUGCUCACAAUGAAAGCCAGCUUAAUGCCAUGUCCCUUGCUGUUCUCAUUUGCCCCUAGAAUUUUCUACUGCCAUCUUCUAGGAUCACCUCUUGAAUAAAAGACUUGUACUGGUUCCUUAUUUCACAAUUUUCUACUGUUGUCACUCAAACUUAAACACUACUCUCAGCCUCAGCUCCCUCCUUGAUAAAAGGGGCAAAAUACUAACUCCCUUCUUGUCUUACAAAGAUGAAAUGAAGUACUAUCUCUAUAAAUUAACAAGUGGAUGCUCACAGUCAUCUAUAGGAUGGAACACGGGGCUCCCAAUGGAGAAGCUAGAGAAAGCACCCAAGGAGCUGAAGGGGUCUGCAACCCUGUAGGUGGAACAAUAAUAUGAACUAAUCAGUACCCCCAGAGCUCAUAUCUCCAGCUGCAUAUGUAGCAGAAGAUGGCCAUCACUGGAAAGAGAGGCCCCUUGGUAAUGCAAACUUUAUAUGCCCCAGUACAGGAGAAUUCCAGGGCCAAGAAGUGGGAGUGAGUGGUUAGGGGAGCAGGGCGGGGGGAGGGUAUAGGGGACUUUUGGGAUAGCAUUUGAAAUGUAAAUGAAAAUAUCUAAUAAAAAAUUAAAUAAAUAAAUAAACAGGUUUUUUUUUGUUUUUUGUUUUUUAUUUACCUCUGCUACCAUUUCAUGAAGGCACGUAAGAAGCCAUAACCACUCAUGCCAUCUUGUUUCUAGACCUCAGUAAUCAGGAUCCCUGCCACUUCAUACACUACUCAUUUCAAAGAAGGCACAGUGGUCUCAUUCUUUCUGUAAUGUGCCAAGGAACAGUCUUUAAACUUUCAGUUGCCUCAUCUAGGUAUCUGUGUGGGUUUCCCCAUCACUUUAAAUAUCCUUGAUGAAAUAUGACCUAACCAAUAAAUAUUUCAUUUACUAUGGAGGGAUCCUUGUUUGUAUGCUUCCUGCUAGAUCUCACUCACCUCAAUGUCUAUGUCUGUAAGUCUGAGUUAAAAAUGGUGUCCUGCUUCUGGUCCAGGGCUCAGGCCACUGGGUGAGGCGGGAUGCGGGAAGUUUGACUGCGCACACAACACCGCCACCAUGCGGGUGCUGGGCUGUGAGAAGCCUCAGGACCCUGCUCUGGGGGUGCGGAGGCACAGACUGAGGUCCCUGUGGAACCUGCCUGAGUUGGCUCGGGGUUCGGUCUCCGUGCCUUAAUAGAGGCCAGGGACGGCAGGUUCUGUUGGGAGCCGCCCCCACAUUCGCCGUCACAAGAUGGCGCUGACAUCCUGUGUUCUAAGUGGUAAACAAAUAAUCUGCGCAUGUGCCAAGGGUAUUUUUCCACUACAUGUACUCUGCCUUUCCUGUGACGUCAACUCGGCCAUGGGCUACAGCCAAUCAGGGAGUGAUGCGUCCUAGGCGAAGGAUAAUU
rnacentral:lncRNA from 1 species